AUUGCCUAAUAUAUGCCCAAAGGGAACAAUGGAUUUCAUUAAUGGAAAUCAACACAAUUAAACAGAACAUAUUUGUUUGUUCAGAUCACAUCCUUAGAAGUGAUUUCUUAUAUAAGGAAGAUAUUAUCAGUAGCCAGACUUUAUUAAAAAAAUCAGCUCUACCUCAAAGGAUUUCUGAUGCACUGGUUAAAAACACAGCAGCCGAUAAUUCGGUUAAUUUACCAAGUGAUUUACCCUUCAAAGCUGCAGGGGUAGCUUUCCUGAAGAGUGCAAAAACUUCCUUAGCUUCCAAAAUGGUAUAUAGUACAAACAGAGAAGCUAAUAUAGACAAAUCUGAUCAUUCAUCAUCGACAAUAACUGCAUCUGAGAUUAAUAGUUCUACAGUAACCGUGGGGUCUAGGUCAACAAUUACUAUUUCUCAUCCAAACCGUUUUUGUUUAACUGCUACACAUUCCCUGACUCUGCCAAGGAAAAGGGUAAAAUCAAAAUGAUAUCCUGAGGACCUAAGCACUGAUGAUUCCACCGUUUCAAAAGCUAAAUCACUUGUUACCAAAUUAUGGAAAAAAAAAUAAAGAACAAAAAAUUAAAAUUCGAAGAUUGCAAUAAACAAAUUUGCCCCAAAGAAAUUGAAUAAGAUGUCUCAAGUCAUUAUUAAAAUACUUAAGAAAUAAUAACAUGAUUUUCGAAAAAGCCCAACAUACUACAUAUUUUAUUUGACUUGUAAAAGUACUUGUUUGUAUAUUACUACUAAUAAACUAUCUAAUCUAAUCUA